CUGUUGUGUCAGACCUGAAACCUGUCUACUCCACACUCCUGGGUUUCUAUUACAUCAGUCUAAACUCCCUCCCACUUGGUUUGGACAGAUUAGAUGCUGAGCCAGCAAGUAUGAGAGCAGAGGUGGAGCUCUGAAAACAAACUCUGGUAACUCAGAUUUAAGAUUUGUAACAUCGAUUAACCAGUAGUGGUCUCUGCUCUUCAGCAUCCAGGGUUUUUCCACUCCAGUUCUCUAUGUGUGAUAUGUGAACUAUAUGGACAAGAUAAGGGCAUUGCUCAUCCAGAGUGUGACAGGCUGGCAUUAACCUGCCCAGAAUUUAAGUCUGAUGCUUUGUUUGGAUGAAUUAUAAAUCUGGUCUCUAAAAGCAUCUCAACAAGAAGACGAAGCCCUUCACUUUCCUCUAACAACAAUGUAGAGUAACGAAAUCUGACCCCUUGCAGGCUCAGUAAUGCAUAGUCAACACAGAAGCACGAGUGCGAUGUUACAGAGUGCUCUUGGAAGGAUGGAACAUGUUGUUCUUGUGCUCUGGUUACUAGGCUUUGGUGGUGGUGGUUUGGAUAUUAAAAAUCCAUUAACUCAAUAGCAAUGAUACUAAGAAGGUUUAUUCACUGCUUCUACCUGAACAUUCUGUAUAUUCUCCCUUGCUGCUUUCCCUCAGGCUGGCUGUUUGGCAGUGGAGGUAGUGGUAACAUUGCUGGUUCAGCACUGGUGUGGCUGACUGAGGAAAGCGCAAAUGACAAAUCUGGUCUGUGGAGAUCUAGUUUAGGCUUCUGCAUUGUUCUUUAAACUGGUGCUCCUUGACCUUAAUUUCAACUCAGAUCCAUGUGUGCUUUAAUUUAUUAUCCUCUAAAGUAGUGCUUAAGGAUUCAAUUGUGCACAUGGAGAGUGCUAGGAAAAAGCUGGGUUCAUUUGGAGAUGGAAAGCUGUGCUGAUAAUUUGCAGUUAAUGCUGCUCACAGGUGCUUGCAUUUGUGGAUUUUUAUUUUCUCUUAAUUGCACUAGAUGGCAGUGGAGGUGAAAGGGAUUUUCUGGGGUGCUGCCAACAGAAGCUGCUAAAUCUAAUGGCUGCAGACACGGGUUCUGGUUGUCCUCUUUAUGUUGUUAGACCCUAGGGAUCUAGCUGCUGAGCUGUACUGCCAGGUGGAAGAAUAGCACGUGCUUCUGGUUGGAGAGGGAACGUGGGUUGCAGCUCUGUGCCCAAACAGAGACAGUGCGUGGUGGCAGCCCCCAGUG